CCUGAUAGACUGUAUAGUCCUCCUCUUGGUUAGUGACUCCUGAUAGACUGUAUAGUCCUCCUCUUGGUUAGUUUAGUGACUCCUGAUAGACUGUAUAGUCCUCCUCUUGGUUAGUGACUCCUGAUAGACUGUAUAGUCCUCCUCUUGGUUAGUGACUCCUGAUAGACUGUAUAGUCCUCCUCUUGGUUAGUGACUCCUGAUAGACAGUAUAGUCCUCCUCUUGGUUAGUUUAGUGACUCCUGAUAGACUGUAUAGUCCUCCUCUUGGUUAGGUUAGUGACUCCUGAUAGACUGUAUAGUCCUCCUCUUGGUUAGUGACUCCUGAUAGACUGUAUAGUCCUCCUCUUGGUUAGUGACUCCUGAUAGACUGUAUAGUCCUCCUCUUGGUUAGGUUAGUGACUCCUGAUAGACUGUAUAGUCCUCCUCUUGUUUAGUGACUCCUGAUAGACUGUAUAGUCCUCCUCUUGGUUAGUGACUCCUGAUAGACUGUAUAGUCCUCCUCUUGGUUAGUUUAGUGAC
rnacentral:lncRNA from 1 species